rnacentral:rRNA from 1 species
UACGUAGGUGGCAAGCGUUAUCCGGAUUUAUUGGGCGUAAAGGGAGCGCAGGCGGUCUUUUAAGUCUGAUGUGAAAGCCUCCGGCUUAACCGGAGUAGUGCAUUGGAAACUGGGAGACUUGAGUGCAGAAGAGGAGAGUGGAACUCCAUGUGUAGCGGUGAAAUGCGUAGAUAUAUGGAAGAACACCAGUGGCGAAAGCGGCUCUCUGGUCUGUAACUGACGCUGAGGUUCGAAAGCGUGGGUAGCAAACAGG